rnacentral:rRNA from 1 species
AUGGUGGGGCGUGCCCGGCUGCACGCUGGAGGCCGUCCUCGAGUACAUCGAGGGUGGCAGCACGCCGAGGCUGGAGUACCCCGCUCCCCCACCUUCUCCCGCCGGCGUGGGAGCUCGUGGACGCCGAGACGCAUGGACCCGGCGUCCUCCUCCUCGUCCGGCUCUCCCUCCCUCCUCCCUGUCAAGCCGGAGCCGCAAGACGCGCUGAUCAGCCGGCGCACCCGCAGCUGCGGCGUCCGCAUUACCGAGUCCUCCCCCACCUCUGCCUGGCUCGUCAGGCCGAAGGUGGAGUCCGACCUCCCGCGGAGUACGAGGCCAUAG